AUUGAACGCUGGCGGCAUGCCUUACACAUGCAAGUCGAACGGCAGCACGGGUGCUUGCACCUGGUGGCGAGUGGCGAACGGGGGAGUAAUACAUCGGACGUACCUUAUCGUGGGGGAUAACGCAGCGAAAGCUGUGCUAAUACCGCAUGCGCCCUGAGGGGGAAAGAGGGGGAUCGCAAGACCUCGCGCGAUUAGAGCGGCCGAUGCCUGAUUAGCUUGUUGGGGGGGUAAAAGCCCACCAAGGCGACGAUCAGUAGCUGGUCUGAGAGGACGAUCAGCCACACUGGGACUGAGACACGGCCCAGACUCCUACGGGAGGCAGCAGUGGGGAAUUUUGGACAAUGGGGGCAACCCUGAUCCAGCAAUGCCGCGUGAGUGAAGAAGGCCUUCGGGUUGUAAAGCUCUUUUGUCAGGGAAGAAACACCGGCUCUAACACAGUCUGGGAAUGACGGUACCUGAAGAAUAAGCACCGGCUAACUACGUGCCAGCCGCCGCCGUAA
rnacentral:rRNA from 1 species